rnacentral:rRNA from 1 species
AUUGAACGCUGGCGGCAUGCCUUACACAUGCAAGUCGAACGGCAGCACGGGUGCUUGCACCUGGUGGCGAGUGGCGAACGGGUGCGUAAUACAUCGGAACCUGUAUUGUAGUGGGGGUUAGCCAGGCGAAAGCCGGAUUAAUACCGCAUACGCUUUACGGCUGAAAGCGGGGGCACUUCGGGCCUCGCGCUAUAGGGUUGGCAGAUGGCUGAUUAGCUAGUUGGUGGGGUAAAGGCCUACCAAGGCGACGAUCAGUAGAUGGUCUGAGAGGACGACCAGCCACACUGGGACUGAGACACGGCCCAGACUCCUACGGGAGGCAGCAGUGGGGAAUUUUGGACAAUGGGCGAAAGCCUGAUCCAGCAAUGCCGCGUGUGUGAAGAAGGCCUUCGGGUUGUAAAGCACUUUUGUCCGGAAAGAAAAGCUUGGCUCUAAUACAGUCGGGGUAUGACGGUACCGGAAGAAUAAGCACCGGCUAACUACGUG